rnacentral:tRNA from 1 species
UCUCUGGUGGUCCAGUGGCUAAGACUCCGCUCUCCCGGUGCAGAGUGCCCAGGUUCCAUUCCUGGUCAGGGAA